rnacentral:rRNA from 1 species
ACGAACGCUGGCGGCAGGCCUUACACAUGCCAGUCGAGCGAGGACUUCGGUCCUAGCGUCGGACGGGUGAGUGACGCGUGGGAACGUGCCCUUUGCUCCGCAAUAUCUCUUUUAAACUGGGAGUAAUCCCGGAUGAGCCUUCUCGGGGAAAGAUUUAUCGGCGAAGGAUCGGCCCGCGUUUGAUUAGGUCGUUGGUGGUGUAAUGGCCUACCAAGCCGUAGACGCAUAGCUGGUUUGAGAGGAUGAUCAGCCACACUGGGAGUGGGACACGGGCCAGACAACGACGGGAGGCAGCAGUGGGGAAUCAUAGACAAUGGGGGAAAGCCUGAUCUAGCCAUGCCGCGUGAGCGAUGAAGGGCGUAGGAUUGGAAAGCGCUUUCAGCUGGGAAGAUAAUGAGGGUACCAGCAGAAGAAGCCCCGGCUAACUCCGU